AUUCAGUUGAGGAGUCCCGAAUCGGACGAAACGCGCGUCCUGGAU
rfam:Schistosoma mansoni, Puerto Rico, WGS project CABG01000000 data, contig: 0135